rnacentral:rRNA from 1 species
UUGGAGGGCAAGUCUGGUGCCAGCAGCCGCGGUAAUUCCAGCUCCAAUAGCGUAUAUUAAAGUUGUUGCAGUUAAAAAGCUCGUAGUUGAAUUUCGGAGUUUGUCGGUUGGUCGGGCUUCACUGUCCGCACUGACCUGAUGGAUUCCUACCUUCUGAAUAACCAGCAUGCUAUUAAGUUAGUGCGUUGGGGAAGCAGAGCUAUUACCUUGAAAAAAUUAGAGUGCUUAAAGCAGGCUUAUGCUUGAAUAGAUUAGCAUGGAAUAAUAAAAUAGGACGGCAUGGUUCUAUUUUGUUGGUUUCUAGGAUCACCGUAAUGAUUAAUAGGGAUAGUUGGGGGCAUUAGUAUUCAAUUGUCAGAGGUGAAAUUCUUGGAUUUAUUGAAGACUAACUUCUGCGAAAGCAUUUACCAAGGAUGUUUUCAUUAAUCAAGAACGAAAGUUAGGGGAUCGAAGACGAUCAGAUACCGUCGUAGUCUUAACCAUAAACUAUGCCGACUAGGGAUCGGACGAUGUUAAUUUUUUAAUGACUCGUUCGGCGCCUUACGGGAAAC